rnacentral:lncRNA from 1 species
AUAUAAAUUGAAUUUAGAAAUAUUUUCAAAAUUAAUAAUUGAUAGUCAUAUUUAUUAUGAAAAUAAAAAUAAUAUAUAGUCAAUUACAAUUUGAUUUAAUCUUUAUUUAUAUUUUUACCUGCGUUUACCUGUAAAAUGAAUGCGCGCAAAUGUAAUCGAAAGCUGCGCGCAAACGUAAAACAUUUUAAUCCCCAAAUGCGCGCAAACGUAGUGCGCCC